AUGGACGGGUGGAAAAUCGAUUUCCAUUAAUCGAAUUCAUGUGAUAUAAAUAUGAGGUUUCAUGUUAUGUUCUACAUAAGAGCCAUUCACCAUGAAGUUUGUGUUCUUCCUGAUUUCGUUGUUGGUGGCCGCAGUCUUCAGCGUUGGCUAUGCCAGCCCACAGGACCAUGACCAUGAUAACGUACCAAUACCACACGGGCGUUCGAACCCGCUGGAUGGCGAUGGUGUGAAGGGCAAGCGUCACGCGCACUGCCCCAACUGCCGCGGCUGAACCGACACUACGACCAACCCAUGAAUAAACUCUAUGAGUAA